rnacentral:siRNA from 1 species
GGAGGACCGAGUGCCGCUCA